GCAAGUCGAGCGGACAGAAGGGAGCUUGCUCCCGGAUGUUAGCGGCGGACGGGUGAGUAACACGUGGGUAACCUGCCUGUAAGACUGGGAUAACUCCGGGAAACCGGAGCUAAUACCGGAUAGUUCCUUGAACCGCAUGGUUCAAGGAUGAAAGACGGUUUCGGCUGUCACUUACAGAUGGACCCGCGGCGCAUUAGCUAGUUGGUGAGGUAACGGCUCACCAAGGCGACGAUGCGUAGCCGACCUGAGAGGGUGAUCGGCCACACUGGGACUGAGACACGGCCCAGACUCCUACGGGAGGCAGCAGUAGGGAAUCUUCCGCAAUGGACGAAAGUCUGACGGAGCAACGCCGCGUGAGUGAUGAAGGUUUUCGGAUCGUAAAGCUCUGUUGUUAGGGAAGAACAAGUGCAAGAGUAACUGCUUGCACCUUGACGGUACCUAACCAGAAAGCCACGGCUAACUACGUGCCAGCAGCCGCGGUAAUACGUAGGUGGCAAGCGUUGUCCGGAAUUAUUGGGCGUAAAGGGCUCGCAGGCGGUUUCUUAAGUCUGAUGUGAAAGCCCCCGGCUCAACCGGGGAGGGUCAUUGGAAACUGGGAAACUUGAGUGCAGAAGAGGAGAGUGGAAUUCCACGUGUAGCGGUGAAAUGCGUAGAGAUGUGGAGGAACACCAGUGGCGAAGGCGACUCUCUGGUCUGUAACUGACGCUGA
rnacentral:rRNA from 1 species